GAGGAGUUAGAGGCUGAGAACUCCUCCCUACGCCAACAGGAUUCUCAGCGGGUAGAGAUGCUCAAGGCCGCCAAGGAGGCAACUGCUGCUGCCGAAAAGAAGCUUGAGGAGGCAGUGGGCCAGCUGUCUGAGGCUGCCUCCUCCCUUGCUACCCUUACCACGCAGAGGGAUGCUGCAGAGGCUUCGAGGCGAAGUCUGGAGGCGGAGAAAGAGGACUUGAUGAAUGUGGGCGCCGAUUCCCUCAUUGAUGGAUUCGAGUUGGCGCUCGAGCAAGUUCGCUGCGUCCUCCCAGACCUAGACCUUGCGCAAUUCAGCAUUCAUCACUCGGUGGUAGAUGGGAAACUUAAGCCUCCUACUCCCUGAAUCUCUUCCUUCUGUAAUUUUGACUUCUUCUGUACAAAGUUUCAUUUUGUAACCUUAUGUUUCUGCACCAUUCAACUCUUUGUAACUGACAAUUGUAUGAACAUCUCUGGUGAUAUACCUUGGUUUCAAUUGCUCAAUUUUUCUUUGUAUUUUCU
rnacentral:lncRNA from 1 species